UGGGGAAUAUUGCACAAUGGGCGAAAGCCUGAUGCAGCAACGCCGCGUGAGUGAUGAAGGUCUUCGGAUUGUAAAGCUCUGUCUUUUGGGACGAUAAUGACGGUACCAAAGGAGGAAGCCACGGCUAACUACGUGCCAGCAGCCGCGGUAAUACGUAGGUGGCGAGCGUUGUCCGGAUUUACUGGGCGUAAAGGGUGCGUAGGCGGAUGUUUAAGUGAGAUGUGAAAUACCCGGGCUUAACUUGGGUGCUGCAUUUCAAACUGGAUAUCUAGAGUGCAGGAGAGGAGAAUGGAAUUCCUAGUGUAGCGGUGAAAUGCGUAGAGAUUAGGAAGAACACCAGUGGCGAAGGCGAUUCUCUGGACUGUAACUGACGCUGAGGCACGAAAGCGUGGGUAGCAAACAGGAUUAGAUACCCUGGUAGUCCACGCCGUAAACGAUGAGUACUGGUGUAGGAGGUAUCGA
rnacentral:rRNA from 1 species